rnacentral:rRNA from 1 species
ACGAACGCUGGCGGCGUGCCUAAUACAUGCAAGUAGAACGCUGAAGAGAGGAGCUUGCUCUUCUUGGAUGAGUUGCGAACGGGUGAGUAACGCGUAGGUAACCUGCCUUGUAGCGGGGGAUAACUAUUGGAAACGAUAGCUAAUACCGCAUAACAAUGGAUGACACAUGUCAUUUAUUUGAAAGGGGCAAUUGCUCCACUACAAGAUGGACCUGCGUUGUAUUAGCUAGUAGGUGAGGUAAUGGCUCACCUAGGCGACGAUACAUAGCCGACCUGAGAGGGUGAUCGGCCACACUGGGACUGAGACACGGCCCAGACUCCUACGGGAGGCAGCAGUAGGGAAUCUUCGGCAAUGGGGGCAACCCUGACCGAGCAACGCCGCGUGAGUGAAGAAGGUUUUCGGAUCGUAAAGCUCUGUUGUAAGUCAAGAACGGGUGUGAGAGUGGAAAGUUCACACUGUGACGGUAGCUUACCAGAAAGGGACGGCUAACUACGUGCCAGCAGCCGCGGUAAUACGUAGGUCCCGAGCGUUGUCCGGAUUUAUUGGGCGUAAAGCGAGCGCAGGCGGUUUGAUAAGUCUGAAGUUAAAGGCUGUGGCUCAACCAUAGUUCGCUUUGGAAACUGUCAAACUUGAGUGCAGAAGGGGAGAGUGGAAUUCCAUGUGUAGCGGUGAAGUGCGUAGAUAUAUGGAGGAACACCGGUGGCGAAAGCGGCUCUCUGGUCUGUAACUGACGCUGAGGCUCGAAAGCGUGGGGAGCGAACAGGAUUAGAUACCCUGGUAGUCCACGCCGUAAACGAUGAGUGCUAGGUGUUGGAUCCUUUCCGGGAUUCAGUGCCGCAGCUAACGCAUUAAGCACUCCGCCUGGGGAGUACGACCGCAAGGUUGAAACUCAAAGGAAUUGACGGGGGCCCGCACAAGCGGUGGAGCAUGUGGUUUAAUUCGAAGCAACGCGAAGAACCUUACCAGGUCUUGACAUCCCGAUGCUAUUUCUAGAGAUAGAAAGUUACUUCGGUACAUCGGUGACAGGUGGUGCAUGGUUGUCGUCAGCUCGUGUCGUGAGAUGUUGGGUUAAGUCCCGCAACGAGCGCAACCCCUAUUGUUAGUUGCCAUCAUUCAGUUGGGCACUCUAGCGAGACUGCCGGUAAUAAACCGGAGGAAGGUGGGGAUGACGUCAAAUCAUCAUGCCCCUUAUGACCUGGGCUACACACGUGCUACAAUGGUUGGUACAACGAGUUGCGAGUCGGUGACGGCGAGCUAAUCUCUUAAAGCCAAUCUCAGUUCGGAUUGUAGGCUGCAACUCGCCUACAUGAAGUCGGAAUCGCUAGUAAUCGCGGAUCAGCACGCCGCGGUGAAUACGUUCCCGGGCCUUGUACACACCGCCCGUCACACCACGAGAGUUUGUAACACCCGAAGUCGGUGAGGUAACCUUUUAGGAGCCAGCCGCCUAAGGUGGGAUAGAUGAUUGGGGUG